UAGGGAAUCUUCGGCAAUGGACGAAAGUCUGACCGAGCAACGCCGCGUGAGUGAAGAAGGUUUUCGGAUCGUAAAACUCUGUUGUUAGAGAAGAACAAGGACGUUAGUAACUGAACGUCCCCUGACGGUAUCUAACCAGAAAGCCACGGCUAACUACGUGCCAGCAGCCGCGGUAAUACGUAGGUGGCAAGCGUUGUCCGGAUUUAUUGGGCGUAAAGCGAGCGCAGGCGGUUUCUUAAGUCUGAGGUGAAAGCCCCCGGCUCAACCGGGGAGGGUCAUUGGAAACUGGGAGACUUGAGUGCAGAAGAGGAAAGUGGAGUUCCAUGUGUAGCGGUAAAAUGCGUAGAUAUAUGGAGGAACACCAGUGGCGAAGGCGGCUCUCUGGUCUGUAACUGACGCUGAGGCUCGAAAGCGUGGGGAGCAAACAGG
rnacentral:rRNA from 1 species